rnacentral:rRNA from 1 species
UACAGAGGUCCCAAGCGUUGUUCGGAUUCACUGGGCGUAAAGGGUGCGUAGGUGGCUUGGAAAGUUUGAUGUGAAAGCUCAGGGCUUAACCCUGAAAUGGCAUUGAAUACUAUCGAGCUGGAGGUUUGGAGGGGGGACUGGAAUUCUUGGUGUAGCAGUGAAAUGCGUAGAUAUCAAGAGGUACACCAGUGGCGAAGGCGAGUCCCUGGUCAACACCUGACACUGAGGCACGAAAGCCGGGGGAGCAAACAGG